rnacentral:rRNA from 1 species
CUACGGGUUGCUGCAGUAGGGAAUAUUGCGCAAUGGACGAAAGUCUGACGCAGCAACGCCGCGUGGGUGAUGAAGCUUCUUGGAGUGUAAAACCCUGUCAGUGGGGAAGAACCGUACGAGGAGUUACUGCCUUGUACCUGACGGUACCCACAGAGGAAGUCCCGGCUAACUCCGUGCCAGCAGCCGCGGUGAUACGGGGGGGACUAGCGUUGUUCGGAUUUACUGGGCGUAAAGGGCGCGUAGGCGGGCCUUCAAGUCGGAUGUGAAAACCGGUGGCUUAACUGCCGGCCUGCAUUCGAUACUGCUGGUCUUGAGUACAGGAGAGGAAAGCGGAAUUCCAGGUGUAGCGGUGAAAUGCGUAGAUAUCUGGAAGAACACCAGUUGCGAAGGCGGCUUUCUGGCCUGAUACUGACGCUCAAGCGCGAAGGCUAGGGGAGCAAACAGGAUUAGAUACCCGCGUAGUC